rnacentral:rRNA from 1 species
UACGAAGGGGGCUAGCGUUGUUCGGAAUCACUGGGCGUAAAGCGCACGUAGGCGGAUCUUUAAGUCAGGGGUGAAAUCCCGAGGCUCAACCUCGGAACUGCCUUUGAUACUGGGGAUCUCGAGUCCGGAGGAGGUAAGUGGAACUGCGAGUGUAGAGGUGAAAUUCGUAGAUAUUCGCAAGAACACCAGUGGCGAAGGCGGCUUACUGGUCCGGAACUGACGCUGAGGUGCGAAAGCGUGGGGAGCAAACGGG